ensembl:lncRNA
CAAAGCCCUUCAUUCUUCAAUGGAGGGAAGGCUAAUCAACGCUGUAGCAAACCACCCGGAGCUGUACGACACCAGCUGCUUUGUGUACCGAGACAGGAAUUUAAAGGACCGAGCUUGGAGGAAGAUAUGUAAAAAGAUCGGACAACCUGAACCAGCUGAUUCUGCAGCAGAGCAUCCCCUGUUGCUUCUCCUUGCUCCCCAGUCCCUGAGCUCCUGCUGCUGCGCCUACAGGCCCAGAGAGGAGGACAGCUCCGAGGCAAAUGAGGGACUGGUCCCAGGACGGUCCAUCGGUGGUGGAGCUGGCCAUCCUGGUGUCCAGAGGCCACGCCAGUCUCCAAUGAAGCAUUUCCUCCUCAGCCUUGUUCCUGCUCUGGAGAGCAGCUGGGUCCUUUUUAUUCCUGUCUCUCUGUAAAUACUUAUAUUUUAUAUUUAUGGUUAAUAUUUUUCUGUUUGAGAAUUUUAAUAUUAUUUCAAAUAAAUUUUUA